rnacentral:lncRNA from 1 species
GGAGAUUCCGGUUCUACUUGUUGAAGAGAUGUCAUAAAGAUUGUUAUACAUUAGGGACUACAGCCUCGUUCCUCCUGGUAAACAUGGGUCUGUGAGUAUUUGGGGGAUUUUGUUCCAGAAGAAACCUUAACAUUCAACAUGUGACUCCACGAGGCUCCUUAGUUCUGAACACAUGUGACCAGUGACUUGAAAGUGGGUGAGAGCCUCGAGGCCUGGCUGUGAGGCUACAGGGCAACAAUUUCCUUGCCUGCUGAAAUAAGAAAUAAGAAAAUAAGAAAUAAGAAAGCAGACUUUUCUGCACAAGCCAACGUUGCCAAACAGGUUACAUAGUGGAAUGCAGGAAUGAUAAACACCUACAGUCAACAUCUACAUUUGUCCCAAUAAUCCCUUGCUCAAAGGGGCUCCCUGGAGAAGCAAAGCCAUGGGUGAUUCCAGAUCAAACUAGAAGAGAUCCUAGAUGGAGUUCAAGUUUAAUGUGAUGAGGGAAGAUUGUCU